CGCUCAGUCGUGUCCGACUCUGUGGCUCCAUGGACCGCAGCACACCAGGUCUCCCUGUCCAUCACCAACUCCCAGAGCCUACCCAAACUCAUGUCCAUUGAGUCGGUGAUGCCAUCCAACCAUCUCAUCCUCUGUCACGCUGUUAGAUGAAAACAGUGAGUUUGAGUAAACUUCAGGAGUUGGGGAUGGACAGCGAGGCCUGGCGUGCUGCAGUCCAUGGGGUCGCAAGAAGUCAGACAUGACUGAACUGAACUGAGCUGAAAUGAGAACCGAUAUGGUAACAAAGGAGAGGGAUAUCGUGGAGGAAGACCUGUCCUGACGAGGAGGAGGCAAGAAGGGCACCACAGGGAGGAAGCCACGCCUUCAGAGACAAGUGUGAAGAAAUGGGAGGACAGCCAGAGAGACUAAAGCUUCUCCACAGAGACCAGAGGUCAGUUCACCUGCUGUAAAGCAGAGAGAGAAGAGGAGCAGCUGAGGAAUAGGGAGGAGGCUUGGGGUAAUUCCUGAGGAGGGGCCGGGAGGCUGCAAGGUCAGAGUCGAGGGACCAAGAAAUUUGGAAGCCCGUGAACACGUCCAAACAAAAUCAUACGAUUGGGUGAUUUUUUUUUUUCCCCAGCAACACUGCAGCAGAAUAGACAGUUGUUUGGGGGAUAAAAUAAUGAGAAACUAGAAUAGUAGGGCAUGCAUAGGUAGAGAGUGGACCCUCUCAGUUUAGGUAUGGACGUACUGAAACAUGUGAUGGUCACGAUGAGCUGUGGAGCAGGGGCACAAGAAUGGGCUGCUGCAGUGGGAGUUAAUGGAAGUGGAAUUGAAGAAGGCGAGAAAUGGAAAGAAUAAUAUAUUUAACAGACUUUAAAAAGUAAACAUUGAAGCCUUCCAGAUACUCCACACAUAGACGCUCCAUAUGAAAUCUCCUGAAGUGUUUCAGCACUGGCACUUUCACCUUACCAAUUACACCGCCUAUUAUGGAUGCUCAUUCUGGGCAAUUAUCGUUGUAAUUAUUGGGGCUUCUGGCUACUUCAAUAGAAAGAGUGGAAGCUUCAAAGCGUCAGCGCCUGAGUCAAUGCAGAGAGAGCCAAGCUGAAUACUUGGACAUGGUUCUUCACUGGGGAAGCAGAAAAAGCAGGGCAAGUCAUGCCAAAGCUUGGCUCCGAUUAGACAAGCUUUUACUAUUGAAACGCUGACACCCCGGAGGGGCCUAUAAUUUUGUUUUCCAACAGCCUCGUAAUUACCGAUAACCCUUCCUCCUGCUGACGGCAAAGGGCCUGAAACAUUCCUGGUUUUUCUCUCCCAGUAAACUAUGGAAAUGAUCCCAUACUACUCACUUUGUAAAAUGUCCUUACGAGUUUUUUUUUGGAGAAGAGAUUCAUUUCUAGCACAACCUUUGUACUAUUUGGCAAAGUUACCAGUAAUGACAAAAAAACGAUUGAUGCUUAAUGUGUAUAUGAAUCGAAUUUUUACAUAUGAAACCCAUAUUGUAUGUAUCAGGGGCCCCCAACCUCAGAUCGAAUGCCUGACGGUCUGAAGUGGAGCCGAUGUAAUAAUAGAAAUGAAAUGCACAGUAAAUGUAACGCACUUGAAUCAUCCCGAAACCAUUUCCCCCAACUCCUGGUCCAUGGAAAAAUUGUCUUCCAUGUAACUGGUCUCUGGUGCCAGAAAGGUUGCAGACUGCUGGUAUACAUGUUCCAAAAUAUACUGUAAGUCACUGAAAAAUAUUUUUCCACAGGCAAAUCAGUC
ensembl:lncRNA